UGACUCCCGCCCGCCUACUCGCCUGCGCCUUCCUUCCGUCCCCGGAAUCCGACGCAGUCUCCCCGCGGAGCCUCCCCCGUGCGGCGCCCGAUCGGGACGCGGCGGAACGGAGCUGUCCGUGGUUCCCGCCUGGGCGAGGGGACGGAGCACGUCCCGCGUGCUGGAGCGCAGCCCGGGAGCCGGUAAUGUCCUCGGAUGGAAACGGAUUCAUUCUACUGUCACUCGUGACAGGCAGACGUCAGGCCACCUCCUCUCCGGUCGCCUGGCCACCUCCUUACCAACUCCUGUCCUUGCUGCGCGCUCAGAGACUGGAUAUAUUUAUUUACUGAGGGAAAGAACAGAAGGAGAGGAAGAGAGACUCUCAAGUGGACUCUACGGUGAUUGCAGAGGCCCACAUGGGGCUCCAUCCCAAGACCCUGAGAUCAUGACCUGAGGCACCCAGGUGCCCCUGUUGUUUUUUGUUUUGCUUUGUUUCAAUGAGCUAACCCUACGGGGAGGAGCUUCCCCUUUAACUCUGGGUUCAUCAUUUACAUUGAGGGCCCCAAGGGCAGGUGUACAUGAAGGAGAGGACCACCCAAAGCCACAGAGAGGAGCCUGGGAGCGCUCCCUCUUGGAUGGUGCCCUGGGACCCUGCACCCUGAUGGAUCUGCUCUCCCCUGCUAGAACCUGUGACCCGGCAGAGCUCCGGACCGCAACCUCACAUCUCCUGAUGGGGCGGCCAUCGAGCACUGGAGCUGGGUCCCUCCUCCCAGACUGGGACAUCCUGACUCAGUUUCCCCACGGAGCUCCCCCUUGUCCAGAGCUGGGACAGAGGGGAUAGGUCUGAACGGGACAGGAGGGCCUGGGGGCUUCUGGUGUUGGGAGUCAGUGUGGGAAUGAGGUCCUCAUGGCUCUGUGUCCUUCCUCUUAAGAACAGAGACACUCAGCGAUGACGUCACCGCAUGCAAGGCAGGGCCGAGCUGUUUUGACUUGUGACCUUUGAUACACUGAGGCCUGGCCCUGCCCCCCUGCACCUCUGGAGCUUGACCAAGUGUGCCCUGCAACCCAUUUCUUACCACACUGUUAUCAGGCUCUCUCCACACAGGAGUCCUGAAGUUUGGGUCCCCUCCAACACCGAGGAAACAGUGGGACGGGGACCCAGCUCCGGGUCUGUGAUGUAGGAAAGAUGUUAGGUUUCGAAGCCGACAGCCAAGAAAGAAUUCUUGAGAUGUCUUUGGUGCAAAAAGGUGGUUUUAUCAAAGUACAGGGAACAGGACCCUUGGGCAGAAGGAGCUGCACUGGGGCCAUGAGGAGUGGCCCAUUACAUCCGUGCAAGUUGGUCGGGUGUUAAGGAGAGUGUAUAUCUGGAAGGAAUUCUGGAAGCAAGGCUUCCAGGAUCGUGACGGUAUAGCUGUUGUUCGGAAAGGUCACUCAUUGCCGUUUUGUGAACCGUGAGUCAUGAAACCCUUCAAAUGUGUAUCAGUGGGUGGGUUGGUCGGUCGUAUGUUUGUGGGAUGAUUGCCAACAUGUAUCUUAGGGAAUAGAAAGAAAGGAAGUUUCCAAAGCAAUUUUUAUAACUUAAAGUAGACUUCCAGGACCCUGGGGGGUCAGGCUAGGAUUGCCUUCUGCCCUUAGCAUAGUAUCAACUUCAAAGCCGUUGAGUCCCUAGAGGAAUGUCACUCUGCCUGUGUCAGGGACCUGUCACGGGGCUGUAAGUAGUAAAGAAAUGUAAUGAUUUCUCUUCUGCCUUUGUUUCCCACACCAGUCCGUUUCUCCCGAGAACGAGAACACCUUGACCACAGGAGGCCCUGUCCAGUCCAGCCAUGCUGGACCUGUAGUCCUCUGGGCGCCCCCAUCAGUCCGACUUCCCCUUCUUACGUGGAAGAGAAAAGCCCCUUCCUGUCUGACUUGAGAUGCUUGUACCUCUUGGAUCGGUUUAUUGUUACUUGAGUCAAGUUUCUCCUUAUACCAAAUCCAGAUCUGUUCGCUAUUAGACAGACAUGCAAUUUACAUCAGGAACCCACUGCUUCUGGAGAGCUUGGUGCUCAUGGGAGUUGGAACUAUUUAAGAAGCAAAAUUCAGGGCGCCUGGGUGGCUCAGUUGGUUAAGCAUCUGCCUUCAGCUCGGGUCAUGAUCCCAGGGUCCUGGGAUGGAGCCCCACAACAGUCUCCUUGCUCGGCUGGGAGCCUGCUUCUCCUUCUGCCUGCUGCUCCCCCUGCUUGUGCUCUAUCACUCUCUCUGACAAAUAAAAAGUAAAAUCUUUUAAAAAGCCGGGGUCGGGGGGUGAGGUGAAUGGGUCGUGGCAGGUCACCUUCCUUUCUGGGAUGGCAGGGAUCUAGCAGCUGGAUAAGACCAGCUCAUUCCUGACGGACGGGUUUAAGAUUCCAUUUCUGGGAGAGGCUGAAAUGGCAAUGAAGUCGUGGUUUGGGGACAGGGAGCUGACUGAGUGACUCCAUUUUGGUCUUGUCUUAUUUUUAGCAGCACCCAGGCCCGGGAGCAGGAAGUCUUUGGACAACCGCUGUCAUGAGAUGUACUUAAAACUUUCAAGUGGACACUUUACACUGGAAAGAAAUGUAUUUUAGAUCGCUUUUUGAACAUGUCCCUAAAAGACUUUUAAGUAUAAAAGUAUGCUAUCCCUGUUAGGUGGGCCGCCGCCACGGGUGGCAAUUGUCUAGAGAGAAACACUGAAGAGUUGAUUCAUUCUGCAAGGGAGGAGAGGGGCCAGGCA